rnacentral:rRNA from 1 species
UACAGAGGUCUCAAGCGUUGUUCGGAUUCAUUGGGCGUAAAGGGUGCGUAGGCGGCGCGGUAAGUCGGGUGUGAAAUCUCGGAGCUUAACUCCGAAACUGCAUUCGAUACUGCCGUGCUUGAGGACUGGAGAGGAGACUGGAAUUUACGGUGUAGCGGUGAAAUGCGCAGAUAUCGGGAGGAACACCAAUGGCGAAGGCAGCUCGCUGGGACGUUACUGACACUAAGGCGCGAAAGCGUGGGGAGCGAACAGG